GCUGAGAUGGCUCAGUCGGCAGAGCAUGAGACUCUUAAUCUCAUGGUUGUGGGCUUGAACCCCACACUGGGCA